UUCAUGGAUCAUUCACUCUGAGCAACACUGACCAAUGUUGAAGUUUCUGGAAGUCUGGCUUUCACAUAAAGGGAGAUGUUGUCACGUUGGCCAACAGAGGCUUAAAGCCACAGUUUAAACACAGGCCAAAUUUCCACAAAAUUGAAAGGAAAUGGUAAUGCUUCAUCUGAACAGGAAAGUGACCAAAGAAAGAAGGAAAGCAGGUCAAGGUUUGUUUCUGUUGAUUGCAAUUAAAAAAUCCCUAGAUACCCAGACACAUGUGAUUCCACAUGUAAGUGAUACCAUCUUCCUAAUGUUCAUGAGCUGUUGCAAAGCCAGUACAAUUACUAAGAUCCAACAGAAGCCAAAGGAAGUAACUGACAAUGAAAAAUGAGCAGAACCCUUUCUCCAGCGAGGAGGAGUACUUGCAGGAAGGCAAUUAUACCGUUGCCUAGGGGAAAACAGAAACUUUCCUUCAAGGAUGGUGCACAGCACUCAUUUGCCAAAGCCCUGGGGUUUCAGAGGGGCACUAGAUCUAGGCCUGAGCUCAUGACCAUCCAUCAGGCAGAGGCGAGGGCCCUGGGAGAAGGGUGCACGCCCACUCCCUUACAGAGAAUGGAAUCCAUACCUAUUGGAAAUGUGACAGAACGAUUCGUAACACAUGAACUCAGCUCAUAAAUUGUCAUGUCUUUCGGUGACCUUGUAAAAGAAUGCAGACAGUAUAAUAUCUCAGAUUAGAAUGAAAAUAACUGAUGUGCAAGCUCUUUUGAUUUGGUCGGAGCCGAGGAAGGUGAUCAUGAUGUACUUUAGUGUAAGAGAACUCUGUGGCCUAGAAGACAGGAGAUGGAGAUGUCUGGCAUUCAGGAUUAAUGGGUAAUUUAGAUGAGAGGACCAUCCAGAGGAAGAGAAUCCAGUAGUAGAGAAGAAUUGCCCAACUGUUAAUUCUCUUCAUAUCAGGCUGUUGGACAGAGUUUUCAAGAAGGAAACGUUUUGUUGUACUCUGUAACAUUACUCUGGAAAGUUUAGUUUCUGAGAUGAUGCACAAUUGACUUUUGAAGUAGUGAUUGGUUUUACAGCUGCAGGUGUGCUCUUGGACCUUAAUUUUGGCAGAGCAAGAGGGCACCUGAAGACUGCAG